rnacentral:rRNA from 1 species
AGAGAUGUGUGAUGACGCAUAUCAAUAAGCGGAGGAAAAGAAACUAACAAGGAUUCCCCUAGUAACGGCGAGUGAAGCGGGAAGAGCUCAAAUUUGAAAUCUUCAAGGUUUUCCCUUGACGAAUUGUAGUUUAAAGAAGUGUUUUCUGUUAGAGAGUUUGGUAAAAGUUCUUUGGAAUAGGACAUCAUAGAGGGUGAGAAUCCCGUAGUUUGAUCAUCUUUCCUAGCUUUGUGAUACACUUUCAAAGAGUCGGAUUGUUUGGGAAUGCAGUCCAAAGUGGGUGGUAAAUUUCAUCUAAAGCUAAAUGUUGGCGAGAGACCGAUAGCGAACAAGUACCGUGAGGGAAAGAUGAAAAGAACUUUGAAAAGAGAGUUAAACAGUACGUGAAAUUGUCAAAAGGGAAGCGUUCGACACCAGUGUUGUUUUUCCGAAAAUCAAUUACGAAUGUUUUAUUUUUGAGAAGUUAUGACUUCAUCGGCUUGCUUCUCUCUUUAUGAAACUUUCUUAAUGCACUUUUCGGUUAACAAGUCAACAUCAAUUUCUUUUGUUGUAAAAGGGUAUGAAGAAGGUGGCUUUCUUUUCGGAGAAAGUGUUUAUAGCCUUGUACCUCUGCAAUCGGAGAGAUUGAGGUCUGCAGCGUAGAUCCUUCGGGGUUAGAUACAUUUGUGCUAAGUUAUAGCUUUUCAUAGACAACUUGUUGACUAUGUUUAGUCUUGUAGCUUACUCGCUUAUGCUAUUUUACCUACGCUUAGGAUGUUGAACUACUGAGACAUAGA